UUCACGAGAACUUCGUGUUCAUCAGCGCACUUGGUCGUGAUUAUUUUAUGGCGUAAAUCACAUUUGUACAGGCAGACAGUCAUCUGUUAACACGGGCCGAAACGAAAAAGCCUCGCGACGCGAUCAGGCCGCUCACGGAGGAUGUGUCACGCAAAAUGGUGCUGCUUCAUGCUGUUAACGUAACCAAUGUGAUGUAUUUGUGGACAUUUGCUAACUUAAGGUAUUUAUCUGGAGAGAGGAACAAAGACGAAAGGAAAAGUGCCAUCUAAAACAACAGGCAGACAGUUCAGAAGAAACGGGUUGCGUUCAACCUACAUGUGGCCACUCUUCUGUGCAAAGUGAUGGAUUUUCAGUGGAAUUUCUGAAAUCCUCUCUUUGAAUCCUGGGAUGGAACAUCAUCUGGAGCAGAAUUGUUCUUUUUUGAUCGCAAGUUUGUUGGACUUGUUGUUUGGCCAUGUUGGUAUGUUCAUGAAGUGAUAAAAGUGAUGUGGGUUUUAAGAAAUGUUUUUAUAUGACCCUGUUGGUCAAGUUAUAGUUAUAAUUGUAUUUCUUUGUGUGAAGGGCCAUGAUGGCCAAUAAGUAAUUUAAAAACAU